rnacentral:sRNA from 2 species
GGGCAUGAUGCCCUUCCUCCUAGCUCAAGUUUGUCGCGCUCUUCCCCAUAGCUAGUGAUUCGGGAACUUUUAUCAGCCAGUAAUGUUGCCCGCACUUGGAGAUCUCAGACUGGCAUUGGCCUUCAACAACAUCCCACGGCGCCAGCAGCCGGUAUGUGUAUUCUACCCCGGCUCUCUGAAAAUCCUACGAUGAUCUCCUCACUGGCCGACUCCUCUUUCGCGCUUCAGCUAUGCACAUUGAGCUGUAUGACAUGAAAAAAAAAUAUCCGCCCAGCCACCUUCAAUGCAUGAAUAGCUCAUCUCCCCCCAUCCGCUGGGAUUUGAUAUCUCCCAUCUAGGACGGCGAGAAGGUUAUUACUAUUCUUGGGGUUUUGUCUAUGCUCGAAUGAAAGAAUCCCAUCCAGCUUCACCGCCAUGCAAUGGUCAAUGCGAAGCUUCCUCCUGUUCGAAGGCCGAACACCUUGGCUGGCCAUAGCUCCAUGAUCCCCGUACAGCCACAGCGGACUAGCCGGUUAGUUUCAGGCUCAAGAGUUGUUUCUAAUUUUGGGCCCUGAAGCAUGAAACUAGCCCAUUCUUCCCAUGGACC